CGGCUAACGACAACUUACAUUUCAAUUUGCAGAGCACAGUUGAGAGUCUGCAACCAUUUCCUGGUGGCCAUCAAAUCCUUCCUGAAUCUGGAAAAUCUGGGCUGUUUUGAGGUGACAUUGACCCUGCACAUCAGCUUGGCUGAAGAAGCCAGUCAGAGCCAAGAGUAGACACCUGUGUUCUGCAGUCUGGCAGUUCCACAUCAGGAAGGACUCGGGGACAAAUCUGAACCGUGUUCCCAGCAGCCUGCGAGGGUGGCACUGUGGGAGUUCUGUCUCAGCUAAAUCAAGACUCAGUGAUGCUACUCUUCCGCGCCACAGAGGUAGCUGCCAGCUCUGCACGGGGGGUCAGUCAGUCAUCGCCUCCAGAGAGCACACAGACCCCCACACUACUAGGGUGAGAGAGGCAGUGGACGCCGAGACACAGGUAGGAAGCUGUGGAACGUCCAGGCAGUUGCAAGCAUGUCUGCAUAGAG
rnacentral:lncRNA from 1 species